AAAUCAUCAAACUUGACUUGUUUUGCGCGAGUCAAAGCUUGGAAAGUGGAGCGUGCUGGCCUUCCCUUUUAAGAGGUCAGCUCCUCUGAAAUAAAUCAGCAAAGGCUUCUCCUUGCUUCUUGACGUUGAUAACCUAAGUCUGCGUCUUUGAAAGGGGCUCUGGCGGUUUUUGCUUUUAAAUUUUGCAAUUUCUUUUUUGCAAGCUUUGAC
rnacentral:misc_RNA from 1 species